CGAGCAGGCUGGACGACCGCGGGUGGGCCCAACCGGGCCACGCCUGAGGAAAGUCCGAGCUCCACAGGGCAGGGUGCUGGGUAACGCCCAGUCGGGGUGACCCGAAGGAAAGUGCCACAGAAAGUACCGCCACGGCGGCAUCCGCCGCGGUAAGGGUGAAAAGGUGCGGUAAGAGCGCACCAGCGGCCGAGUGAUCGGCCGGCUAGGUAAACCCCACCCGGAGCAAGACCAAAUAGGAGAGGUGUGACGCUGCCCGCCGACCUCUCGGGUUGGUCGCUGGAGGCGUCUGGCAACAGCCGCCCAAGACAGAUGGUCGUCCCCCGUGAGGGGCGCGCCCCGCGCGCUCUGACGCGGAUGACAGAACUCGGCUUACAGGCCUGCUCGCCUG
rnacentral:RNase_P_RNA from 1 species